rfam:Oryza barthii chromosome 2, whole genome shotgun sequence.
AAAAAGACAAACCCUCAGUUUUCGUGUCUAACAUUUGACUGUUCGUUUUAUACGCAAUUUUUUUAUAAUUAAUAUUGUUGUUGUUGUUAGAUGAUUAAAAUAUGAUUAAUACUUUAUACGUGACUUAUCUUUUUAAUUUUUUCAUAAUUUUUUCAAAUAAGACGGACGGUCAAACGUUGAACACAGAAACCUAGGGUUUGUCUUCUU